GGCUAAUUACGUGCCAGCAGCCGCGGUAAUACGUAGGUGGCAAGCGUUGUCCGGAAUUAUUGGGCGUAAAGGGCUUCGCAGGCGGUUCCUUAAGUCUGAUGUGAAAGCCCACGGCUCAACCGUGGAGGGUCAUUGGAAACUGGGGAACUUGAGUACAGAAGAGGAGAGUGGAAUUCCACGUGUAGCGGUGAAAUGCGUAGAGAUGUGGAGGAACACCAGUGGCGAAGGCGACUCUCUGGUCUGUAACUGACGCUGAGGAGCGAAAGCGUGGGGAGCGAACAGGAUUAGAUACCCUGGUAGUCCACGCCGUAAACGAUGAGUGCUAAGUGUUAGAGGGUUUCCGCCCUUUAGUGCUGCAGCAAACGCAUUAAGCACUCCGCCUGGGGAGUACGGUCGCAAGACUGAAACUCAAAGGAAUUGACGGGGGCCCGCACAAGCGGUGGAGCAUGUGGUUUAAUUCGAAGCAACGCGAAGAACCUUACCAGGUCUUGACAUCCCAUGACAACUCUAGAGAUAGAGCGUUCCCCUUCGGGGGACAUGGUGACAGGUGGUGCAUGGUUGUCGUCAGCUCGUGUCGUGAGAUGUUGGGUUAAGUCCCGCAACGAGCGCAACCCUUGAUCUUAGUUGCCAGCAUUUAGUUGGGCACUCUAAGGUGACUGCCGGUGACAAACCGGAGGAAGGUGGGGAUGACGUCAAAUCAUCAUGCCCCUUAUGACCUGGGCUACACACGUGCUACAAUGGAUGGUACAAAGGGCUGCGAGACUGCGAAGUUAAGCGAAUCCCAUAAAACCAUUCUCAGUUCGGAUUGCAGGCUGCAACUCGCCUGCAUGAAGCUGGAAUCGCUAGUAAUCGUGGAUCAGCAUGCCACGGUGAAUACGUUCCCGGGCCUUGUACACACCGCCCGUCACACCACGAGAGUUUGUAACACCCGAAGUCGGUGGAGUAACCGUAAGGAGCUAGCCGC
rnacentral:rRNA from 2 species